CCUGUGGGCGGGAAAACCACUCCCCUUGUCCCGGCCUGGGAGUGGGACAAAUAAGGCUGUUCGUCCCACGGGGGCCCCCAGCCCACCUGCUUCCUAUCCGUUUCCUGCAGGAUGGUGCCCCCUGCAUCCCCUCACCCAUCGCUCAUGGAAGGAAAAGCAGACGUGGCCAGCCUGCAUCCUCUUCCUUCCCCGAGCCUCCUGGCCUGGCUGGCCACAGCUGGCAUGGACGCCAUCAGCAGGCUCCGGGCAGGCAGACGGGGCAGCGCCCACAGCCAGGCCACCCUGGCCCUCACUCACCAGCACCCUUUUGUUCUUUUCCUAGCAAAAUAUGCAAAGUGUGACCAGUGUGGAAACCCAAAGGGCAACAGAUGUGUGUUCAGCCUGUGCCGCGGCUGCUGCAAGAAGCGAGCCUCCAAAGAGACUGCAGACUGCCCAGGUCACGGAUUGCUUUUUAAAACCAAACUGGAGAAGUCUCUGGCCUGGAAAGAGGCCCAGCCUGAGCUGCAGGAGCCUCAGCCGGCAGCACCCGGAACACCAGGUGGCUUCUCCGAAGUCAUGGGCAGUGCCCUGGCCUGAAGGCCCAGAACCCCCACCCCCAGGACUGCUGCUGGAGCCUGGACACGUCCUACUUAAGAAAAUGCCUUUUACUCAGGGAAUCUCCUGCUACUUAAUGUG
rnacentral:sRNA from 1 species